rnacentral:rRNA from 1 species
AGUGAACGCUGGCGGUAGGCCUAACACAUGCAAGUCGAACGGCAGCACAGUAAGAGCUUGCUCUUACGGGUGGCGAGUGGCGGACGGGUGAGGAAUACAUCGGAAUCUACUUUUUCGUGGGGGAUAACGUAGGGAAACUUACGCUAAUACCGCAUACGACCUACGGGUGAAAGCAGGGGAUCUUCGGACCUUGCGCGAUUGAAUGAGCCGAUGUCGGAUUAGCUAGUUGGCGGGGAAAAGGCCCACCAAGGCGACGAUCCGUAGCUGGUCUGAGAGGAUGAUCAGCCACACUGGAACUGAGACACGGUCCAGACUCCUACGGGAGGCAGCAGUGGGGAAUAUUGGACAAUGGGCGCAAGCCUGAUCCAGCCAUACCGCGUGGGUGAAGAAGGCCUUCGGGUUGUAAAGCCCUUUUGUUGGGAAAGAAAAGCAGCAGGUUAAUACCCCGCUGUUCUGACGGUACCCAAAGAAUAAGUACCGGCUAACUUCGUG